AGUGAACGCUGGCGGUAGGCCUAACACAUGCAAGUCGAACGGCAGCACAGUAAGAGCUUGCUCUUACGGGUGGCGAGUGGCGGAUGGGUGAGGAAUACAUCGGAAUCUACUUUUUCGUGGGGGAUAACGUAGGGAAACUUACGCUAAUACCGCAUACGACCUACGGGUGAAAGCAGGGGAUCUUCGGACCUUGCGCGAUUGAAUGAGCCGAUGUCGGAUUAGCUAGUUGGCGGGGUAAAGGCCCACCAAGGCGACGAUCCGUAGCUGGUCUGAGAGGAUGAUCAGCCACACUGGAACUGAGACACGGUCCAGACUCCUACGGGAGGCAGCAGUGGGGAAUAUUGGACAAAGGGCGCAAGCCUGAUCCAGCCAUACCGCGUGGGUGAAGAAGGCCUUCGGGUUGUAAAGCCCUUUUGUUGGGAAAGAAAAGCAGCAGGUUAAUACCCCGCUGUUCUGACGGUACCCAAAGAAUAAGCACCGGCUAACUUCGUG
rnacentral:rRNA from 1 species